rnacentral:rRNA from 1 species
GAUGAACGCUGACAGAAUGCUUAACACAUGCAAGUCAACUUGAAUUUGGGUUUUUAACUUAGGUUUGGGUGGCGGACGGGUGAGUAACGCGUAAAGAACUUGCCUCACAGCUAGGGACAACAUUUGGAAACGAAUGCUAAUACCUAAUAUUAUGAUACUAGGGCAUCCUAUAAUUAUGAAAGCUAUAAGCGCUGUGAGAGAGCUUUGCGUCCCAUUAGCUAGUUGGAGAGGUAACGGCUCACCAAGGCGAUGAUGGGUAGCCGGCCUGAGAGGGUGAUCGGCCACAAGGGGACUGAGACACGGCCCUUACUCCUACGGGAGGCAGCAGUGGGGAAUAUUGGACAAUGGACCGAGAGUCUGAUCCAGCAAUUCUGUGUGCACGAUGAAGUUUUUCGGAAUGUAAAGUGCUUUCAGUUGGGAAGAAACAAAUGACGGUACCAACAGAAGAAGUGACGGCUAAAUACGUG